ensembl:lncRNA
AACAGAAACAUGUAUGCCCAAUGGCAGAGUGAGCAGGUUUAUGGCUGUGAAGUUCUGCCUAUAGGUUAAACAGCGAGCAUAGUGGUGUGUCCUGUGUUUACCUAUUGGCACAAUGUUAUUUUCCAUACACAGGUAUGAUGGGUCCUAGACGGCGUACGGACAACCAGGAGAGCCCACGCAUGCUGAUGAAAGACGAAGCCUUCCCUCAGUGACCAACUGUCAGGAACAUUAUUUCAGAGCCCACCAGGCUCCUUUGGUUUUUCAAUGGACCGUUACACAUGUGUUAGACUGUUACUGUGUUUAUUAGGUAGCAAACAGGACAAAACCCGACUCAAACAGAAGGGAGUGGUUGAACCUCUCCAACAUCAAAUGCUUGUUUUUGGUUUCUGUUGCGAAACGAUUUAAAACUGUUUGUUACAUUGUGCCCUAAUGAACACAACAUAUUGAAGCAGUUUUAUUUAUUUUUUCCUUCACAUAAUCAUUACACAAAUAUUUUUUUCAAAAAAAUAUACAAAAUUUUAUUAAUGUCUUGCUCAAUCCACAGACAAAGAGAGCAAACAGUGCAGUGGCUAGGCAGAAGCAGUUGAAGUGAGCAGAGCAAAAAAUAUUGAGGACCAUUUAAUUAGACUCAAUUUCAAUACAAACUUUUUAAAAUUUCUUUGUACAAUAACAUGUACAAUAAGUCACAUCUCUGAAUCAUGAUCAAUAGUUUGUGGUUACAUUUUUAUUACAUGAACCCAGUCAAAAUCAUGACUACUCUCUUAUGAGAUUGAGGUCAGAUUAUCACUCAUCACUUGACAUAUAGUCCCUACCUGUGGAAAUGGUUUGUGUUACAAAUAUUUUUUUAUUCAAUGCACCAAAAAAAGAACAGAACUAGAAUCAUACGGAUAUAAGUUGAAAAGUAGGUUUUGAAAAACAGGCCACAAACUCCUCAUCACUUACAGGUAAAUGUUUCAUUUUUGAUGGGUUGUUACUGUAGUUAGGCUUGUUUUCUAGCACACAAACGUGUAUAUGUAUCGUGUUUACAUUGUGAAGGGUGAUGUGUGUCUGUUUUGUGAUAGUGUAAAUAUUUGAAUAGUUUGAAUUGCUGCUAUCAUGCUCUGUGUUUAUCUGUCAAGUAAUAAAUGAUUGUUCUCUG